UACGUAAGGUCCGAGCGUUGUCCGGAAUCAUUGGGCGUGAAGGGUACGUAGGCGGUUAGAAAAGUUAGAAGUGAAAGGCUAUAGCUCAACUAUAGUAAGCUUUUAAAACUGUUUAACUUGAGAGAUGGAAGGGAAAGUGGAAUUCCAUGUGUAGCGGUGAAAUGCGUAGAUAUAUGGAGGAACACCAGUGGCGAAGGCGACUUACUGGUCUGUGAUUGACGCUGAGGCUCGAAAGCGUGGGUAGCGAACAGG
rnacentral:rRNA from 1 species